rnacentral:rRNA from 1 species
AUUGAACGCUGGCGGCAGGCCUAACACAUGCAAGUCGAGCGGAUGACGGGAGCUUGCUCCUUGAUUCAGCGGCGGACGGGUGAGUAAUGCCUAGGAAUCUGCCUGGUAGUGGGGGACAACGCUUCGGAAGGAACGCUAAUACCGCAUACGUCCUACGGGGGAAAGCAGGGGACCUUCGGGCCUUGCGCUAUCAGAUGAGCCUAGGUCGGAUUAGCUAGUAGGUGAGGUAAUGGCUCACCUAGGCGACGAUCCGUAACUGGUCUGAGAGGAUGAUCAGUCACACUGGAACUGAGACACGGUCCAGACUCCUACGGGAGGCAGCAGUGGGGAAUAUUGGACAAUGGGCGAAAGCCUGAUCCAGCCAUGCCGCGUGUGUGAAGAAGGUCUUCGGAUUGUAAAGCACUUUAAGUUGGGAGGAAGGGCAGUAAGUUAAUACCUUGCUGUUUUGACGUUACCGACAGAAUAAGCACCGGCUAACUCUGUGCCAGCAGCCGCCGUAAGAC